AACCCAAACUAAUAAAGCCCGGCGUAAAGAGUGUUUUAGAAAGACAUAAAAUAAGACUAAAAUUUAUCUAAGUCGUAAAAAACACCAGAUAAAAUGUACACUAAAACGAAAGUAAUCUUACCAUAUCUGAACACACGAAAGCUAGAACCCAAACUGGGAUUAGAUACCCCACUAUGCCUAGCCAUAAACAUAAAAAUUUUAUAACAAAAAUUCUCGCCCGAGAACUACUAGCUAUAGCUUAAAACUCAAAGGACUUGGCGGUGCUUUACACCCACCUAGAGGAGCCUGUUCUAUAAUCGAUAAACCCCGAUAUACCUCACCACCUCUUGCUAAUC
rnacentral:rRNA from 1 species